CUUGGUCAUUUAGAGGAAGUAAAAGUCAUAACAAGGUUACUGUAGGUGAACCUGCAGUAGGAUCAUUAGUGAAUAACACGGGGUUCCCACUACGUGGGCCCCAACCCUUCACCAUAUCCACACACCUGUGCACCGCUAGUGACGGCCGAUACGAAAGUGUCUUGUCGCUGCUAGCAACCUUUUACACAUACACAUCAGUAACUGAAUGUCAUUGUACCUACGCAAGUAGAAACAUAAUACAACUUUUGACAACGGAUCUCUUGGUUCUCCCAUCGAUGAAGAACGCAGCGAAAUGCGAUAAGUAAUGUGAAUUGCAGAAUUCAGUGAAUCAUCGAAUCUUUGAACGCACCUUGCGCUCCUUGGUAUUCCGAGGAGCAUGCCUGUUUGAGUGUCAUGAAUUCUCAACCCCCAAUGCUUUAUUGCGUUGCUUGGGGUUGGUCCUUGGGUGCUUGCUGUUGUCACAGACAGCUCACCUCAAAUGUAUUAGCUGGACCGCACGACGAAUGCGCAGGUUCUACUCAACGUGAUAAGUUCAAUCGUUGAGGAUGCCUUUCCGUUACUGGAAAGCAGCCUGCCUCCAGUCAUGUGCAAUGUCUGCUUCCAACCCGGCGAAUGACUACACAGUCUGACCCACACUUAAUGCUCUGGCCUCAAAUGAGGGAGGACUACCCGAUGAACUUAAGCAUAUUAAUAAG
rnacentral:rRNA from 1 species